ACAUAGGCACGAAAAUUCCGGAAUUCAAACCAACAGUUCUUGUACUAGUAAUGUUUCAACAUACAAAACAGGUAUAGAAAAUUGUUAUAUGUGUGUCUGUCGUGGAAAUCCACUUGACUAUGAAAACACAACUUGUUCAAAUAAUGUUUAUGAAGAAACUACAGGUGUUUUUAAAUCUGGUGAGAGUUUAGAUGCAGAUAAUGUCCCAAACAUGAUGUGGUUGUAUGUAAUGUGCUGUGGGUUAAUAGCUGCUGGAUAAGCAAUUGUAUCCUGUAAAUAUCCAACACUUGAUAAAGGUAG